rnacentral:lncRNA from 1 species
UUAGUAAGUCAAUUUCCUGCAAUGUUUGCCUUUUACGAGCUUUCUCACUUCUCGAGAGCGCACAUCACUAAUGUGUACCAAGUUAAUGGUGUCUAAUUUCUGAGUUAUCAAGCUGUGUUGAUUUGAUUUCAGGAAAAAAAAAAUGUGUUAAUUGAAGAGGUUCUUGCUUUCUGCUGGUACUGAUACAACCCAGAAAGCAUGUUCAUGCUUUAUUAUUAGAUCUGUUUAUCAUUUUGGUGAAGACAAAGGUGAUUUUACUGGAAACCACUUAAUAUAUAUGCAUGUUUCAAUGUUGCUUUUGAUUAUGGCCUUACAUUGGUCUUGCGAAACGUCAAUGAAAAUUAUAUACCAACUCUACAUUAUGGUAUCCUCUGAUGUUCAACUUUGCUAUUCCUGACUGCAAGUUCUUAAUUAGUCUACUUUGUUCUCUAUAUUACCUCAUCAUAGCUGACAUCUAUACUCUAUAAUUCUUGUACAUUUUACACCCUUGCAGCAACUUCUUCACAAAUUUUGGUGCCUGUCAUAUUAACUGUUCAAGUUUUAUUAUCUGUGAUUUAUAUACAGUGCAUGUAUUUGUGAAUUCCACUGUUCUUGAGUUGAACUGGGUUAUAUUGUUUGUAGACCAAAAUAUUGGGGAACUUGGCGGUACUUAAGUUGUUGGGGAACUUGGCGGUUAAUAUCGGUUUGAGUGAGAUUCACAUGGCAUACCGAGAAAGGCUCGUAAAGAUGACCCUAAGACGAUCCAGACCAUGCAUGUUUCAAGUACCCAGACCAUGAAACCAACAUAAAAAUUCAAUGUGAUAAUUAUUNNNNN